AGACCAUCCUAGCCAACAUGGUGAAACCCCGUCUCUACUAAAAGUACAAAAAAAUUAGCCGGGCGUGGUGGAGCAUGCCUGUAAUCCCAGCUACUCGGGAGGCAGAGCCAGGAGAAUCCCUUGAAUCAGGGAGUUGGAGGUUGCAGUGAGCCGAGAUCGCGCCACAGCACUCUAGCCUAGCGACAGAGCGAGACUCCGUCUCAAAAAAAAAAAAAAGAUUGUCUUCAUCCAAGCCAGUUUCCAUUUCUUGGACACACAUUGCUGGUCAGCCAAUCAGAUGCUGGUAUUGAGGUGAAAACAGAAACGAUUUCUGCCUCUGGAUUCUCUGAGAUUCGUGGGAAAAAUGGUAUCCCUAAAAAACAAAGCAAGACACAAAAACCUGACCCCGGUGAGAUGGUGCAAGAACUUGCAAAGUAAAAUGCACUUGGAAACUCCCUGGGACAUAGUGCAGUGUCUCCUGAGAGGUCAUAAAAGAGAGAUGGGGUUCUGUCAGGCCUCUGAGCCCAAGCCUGCACAUAUACAUCCAGAUGGCCUGAGGCAACUGAAGAACAAUGAAAGAAGUGAAAAUGGCCAGUUCCUGCCUUAACUGAUGACAAUCCACCAUUGUGAUUUGUUCCUACCCCACCCUGACUGAUCAAUUAACCUUGUGACAUUCCUUCUCCUGGACAAUGAGUCUCAGAAGCUCCCUUACCGAGCACCUUGUAAUCCCCCCCACCCCGCUGCCUGCAAGAGAAAAAUUCCCUUUGACUGUAAUUUUCCACUACCUACCCCAAUCCUAUAAAACUGCCCCACCCCUAUCUCCCUUUGCUGGCUCUGUUUUCAGACUCAGCCCACUUGCACCCAAGUGAAAUAAACAACCUUGUUCCUCACACAAAGCCUGUUGGUGGACUCUCUUCACACAGAUGUGUGUGUCAUUUGGUGCUGAAGACCUGGGACAGGGGGAAUCCUUUGGGAGACUGGUCCCCUGUACUCACCCUCACUCCAUGAGGAGAUCCACCCAUGACCUUUGGUCCUCAGACCAGCCCAAGGAACAUCUCACCAAUUUUAAGUCUGGUUCUGCCUGCAGGGAAGAUUGUGACAUAUUGCUGGAAACAACACCAACAUAAUGUUGCUCUUUUGCCUGGGACCUGCCCUCAAAAGGCAUUGUGAUAUACUGGUGGGCCAAGCUCGAAGGUGAUGUGCGGGAUGGUUAAAUAUCACUGGACCUAGCACCUAGGGAAUGUGACUCUUGUCUUUUGCAUCAGCCCCACUCGUUUUGAGAACUGUAACAUAUCACUGGGCCAAACACCUAGAAGAUGGGAAGUGUCUGCCUAUGCCCUGCAAACAGGGCUUUAGCCCUACCACUCUCAAGAGCCUCGUGACAUAUCUCUGCAUUCAUCAUCUAGGAGAUGUGACUCCUCCCUGCUGCCUGCGCUCUGCCUACAGGGAAGACCAUAACAACAUUUGGCCCAGCAACACGGUGAUGUGUUUUUUCCCAGGGCCUUGCUCACAGGGAGCAUUGUGACAUAUCACUGGAACCAGCAUCCAGGGCUGUGACUCUGUGUCCUGCUGUUAGAACAGGAUUGUAACAUAUCACUGACCAAGCACCCAGGUGAUGUGACUCUUCUGCCUGGUGCCUGCCUUCAGGGAAAAUUGUGACAUAUGCCUGGCCUAGCACCAAAGUGAUGUGGCUCUCCUGCUACCUCUAUGCACAGGUGGGAUUGUGACAUAUACCUUCAUUCAGCUCAUAGGUGAGGUGAUAACUCUCAUACCACAAACCAAACAGUAGGAGAGAUGCUGUCUGUCAAAGCUAAGCUUACAGAAAUACACAAGAUUCAGGGACUUUUCUUUGUAUAAACAUUAUAGUAGAUUACUGCUCUCUUGUAUAUAAUAUAAACUUCUCAGGUGGUACAGAGAGUGUCAUCACAGGGCCCAGCGCACAGGUGAGAAUACAUUAUUUGUAUGCACGCCCCACCACCCAUUAGGAUUUUCACCCUCAAACAUGGAAAGAGCCUACUGGUAAGGUCUUGAAUCUCACACCUGGAUGCAGUCUACAGUUGAAAUUGUGAUUGUCAUAGGUGAAUAUCCAGCUGCAGUUGAGAUGGUGACUCAUUUCUAACUUAGCUCUGAGGCAGGUGAGGACUGUUUUAUUUGGAACCAGCCAAUUAUAAAGAUGUUGACUCUCAUAUUUGAGCUUAGUUCUACAGGUACAAUCAUGGGUCCAUAACAUCAUGAAGGUCAUAGAGCAGUUUGCAACUCUCAUUAAUACUGUAGAAGGCUCUUGGGUGGUACUGAGAGGGUCUUAGCAGAGCCCCGCACACAGGUGAGAUUGUGACACUCAUAUGCACACCCAGCCAACAAUAAAACUUUUCAUCUUUCCACAUGAACACAGCCCACUGUUGAGGUCCUGAGUCUCCCUUGUGAAAACAGUGCAAAGUUGAAAAAUUGACUCUUAUAUGUGGAUUUGGUUCACAGAUGGGUUGGUGAUGCUCAGACAAAUAUUCAGCACACCUGUGAGUCUGCGACUCCAGUAAUCAUCCACAGUCUGCAGGAGAAAUUGAGGCUCUCACCAACAAAUCAAGUGCACAAUUGAGAUUGCGACUCUUGUACUCAGACCCAACAUACAGAAUGUGUUGACUCUCAAUUUUAAAACCAGAACAUGUGACUGCCUGCAGGGGAUAUGGUGACAUUUUACUUUGCCCAGCACCAAGAUGACUUGAAUCUGCUGCCUUUGUUCUACUUUCAGAAGACAUUGUGACAUAUCGCUGGGCCUAGCACCAAGGUGAUGUGAAUCUUCUGCCUGGACCUGCUCACAGAGGGAAUUGUUACAUAUUUUUGACUUCAUCAACUAUUUGAUGUGACUCUCCUCUCUAACCUGGGCCUUGCCCAUAAAAAACAUUGUGGCUUAUCUCUGGGCCCAAAACCUAGGUGAUGUGACUGUCUUCUUAGGGUCAUGCCCACAGUAGAGAGAUGCCUUAUUGCUAAACCCAGCACACAGGUGAGGUGAUUCUUCUGUCUGGUCCCUGCCCACAGGGGUCAUGAUGACAUCUCUCUAAGCCCAUCACCUAGAUUAUGUGAGUUCUCUUUUUCUUCUGUUAGCUAUAUAGAAGAUUGUGACAUAUUGCUUGGCCCAGACCUCAUGUGAUGUGAAUCUCCUCUCAUGCCUUGGUCCUGUUUUUUUUUGGCCGUUGUUGUUUUGUUUUGUUUUUUGAGAUGGAGUCUUGCUCUGUUGCCUAAGCUGGAGUGCAGUGGCAUAAUCUAGGCUCACUGCAACCUCUGCCUCCUGGGUUCAAGUUAUUCUCCUGCCUCAGCCCCUGAAUAGCUAGGAUUAAAGGUGAGUGCCACCACACUCAGCUAAUUUUUGUAUUUUUAGUAGAGAUGGGGUUUCACCAUGUUGAUUAGGCUGGUAUUGAACUCCUGACUUCGUGAUCAACUCGCCUCUGCCUCCCAAACUUUUGGGAUUACAGGCAUGAGCCACCAUGCCCAGUCAAGAUGAUGAUACAUUUCUAAACCCAGGUUAUAGGCAGGUGAGGGUUCUUCUACCUAUACACACGUUUAAAGGGAUGUUGAAUCUCACACGUGGUCUCAGGGCCACAGGUACAAGCAUGGGUCUUCACCAGCAUGAAUAUCUCAGAGCAUACUGCGACUCUCCAGUGUAAUGUAUAAAGCUCUCAGGUGGGACAGUGUCCUAACAGGAUCCAGAACACAGAAAAGAUGUUGAUGCUCCUAUGCACACCCAGGUCACAGUAAAAUAUGUCAUUUUCCCACAUAAUCAUAGCCCAAUGUUGAGAUUCUGCAUCUCACACCUGAAAGAAGUUGAAAGAUGGAAAAUUGACUCUCUUAUAUAGAUCUGGUCUACAGGUAGGUUGGUGACAUUCAGAUCAAAAUUAAGUACACUUGUGAGGCUAUAACUCUUCUAAGAAGACACAGCUCACAGGAGCAACUGAUGCUCCUAUGAACAAAUCCAGUCCGUGAUUGAGAUUCUAACUCAUGUACUUAUUGUCAGGCCUCUGAGCCCAAGCUAAGCCAUCAUAUCCCCUGUGACCUGCACGUAUACAUCCAGAUGGCCUGAAGCAACCGAAUAUCCACAAAGGAAGUGAAAAUAGCCGUAACUGAUGACAUUCCACCAUUGUGAUUUGUUCCUGCCCCACCCUAACUGAUACGAUAUAUUCUCCCUCUGCCCUGAAGAAGGUACUUUGUAAUAGUCUCCCCCCACCUUAAAAAGGUACUUUGUAAUAUUCUCCCCACCCGUGAGAAUGUACUUUGUACACCUAUCCCAAACCUAUAAGAACUAAUGAUAAUCCCACCACGCUUUGCUGACUCCUUUUUUGGACUCAGCCCACCUGCACCCAGGUGAAAUAAACAGCCUUGUUGCUCAC
rnacentral:lncRNA from 1 species